rnacentral:lncRNA from 1 species
UGAGGGUGUCUGGUAAAGCAAGCUCGGGGAGGUGUUGGAAAUCUGAAUGUCACCCGCGGUCCGGAGCAGAUAGGAUGGGCUGGGAAGGUACCCGCGAACUGCCGCCGGAAUUCGCUGGCAGCUGUGCGAGGCUCAGGUGUUCUAGUUUCUUUGACAUUUCCCUUCCUGAAAGCGGCAAGGAGAGGUCUAAGAGUGGGCAAACUUCAACGUUCGGUUACAGUGUAAUUAAUGAGAGUGUGAGGAAAAAGACAAUUGUCUACAAAGAAAGAGGCUGCCAAGUGGAGACAGAAAAGCAGUUAUGAGACUGAUGAUAGAUUCCAAUUUGUUAUCGAAAGGAAGGAGGAAACCUGAACAGUACAUCCAGAGAAUCCAGCAAAGCAUACCACGGCAUGAACAUGCAAGUGGACAGAAUUAAAACACAUGCCAGAAACACUAAUGGAUUCUAAACAAGAUGCAGUUUCAUUUCCUGAGCCUAUACGUGAUGUUUUUAACUGUUCUCCAGUUAAUAUGUCUCCAUUUCCAGAAAUC